UACGAGUGCCCCAAGCGUUAUCCGGAAUUAUUGGGCGUAAAGGGUGUGUAGGUGGUUUGGUUAGUCUUCUGUCAAAUUCUUCGGCUCAACCGGGGUCCUGCAGAGGAAACGGCCAGACUAGAGGAUGCGAGGGGUGAAUGGAACUCAUGGAGUAGGGGUGAAAUCCGUUGAUAUCAUGGGGAACACCAAAAGCGAAGGCAAUUCACUGGCGCAUUCCUGACACUGAAACACGAAAGCGUGGGUAGCGAACUGG
rnacentral:rRNA from 1 species